AGUGAACGCUGGCGGUAGGCCUAACACAUGCAAGUCGAACGGCAGCACAGUAAGAGCUUGCUCUUACGGGUGGCGAGUGGCGGACGGGUGAGGAAUACAUCGGAAUCUACUUUUUCGUGGGGGGUAACGUAGGGAAACUUACGCUAAUACCGCAUACGACCUACGGGUGAAAGCAGGGGAUCUUCGGACCUUGCGCGAUUGAAUGAGCCGAUGUCGGAUUAGCUAGUUGGCGGGGUAAAGGCCCACCAAGGCGACGAUCCGUAGCUGGCCUGAGAGGAUGAUCAGCCACACUGGAACUGAGACACGGUCCAGACUCCUACGGGAGGCAGCAGUGGGGAAUAUUGGACAAAGGGCGCAAGCCUGAUCCAGCCAUACCGCGUGGGUGAAGAAGGCCUUCGGGUUGUAAAGCCCUUUUGUUGGGAAAGAAAAGCAGCAGGUUAAUACCCCGCUGUUCUGACGGUACCCAAAGAAUAAGCACCGGCUAACUUCGUG
rnacentral:rRNA from 1 species